GAUGAACGCUGGCGGCGUGCUUAACACAUGCAAGUCGAACGAUGAAGCCCAGCUUGCUGGGUGGAUUAGUGGCGAACGGGUGAGUAACACGUGAGUAACCUGCCCUUAACUCUGGGAUAAGCCUGGGAAACUGGGUCUAAUACCGGAUAGGAGCGUCCACCGCAUGGUGGGUGUUGGAAAGAUUUAUCGGUUUUGGAUGGACUCGCGGCCUAUCAGCUUGUUGGUGAGGUAAUGGCUCACCAAGGCGACGACGGGUAGCCGGCCUGAGAGGGUGACCGGCCACACUGGGACUGAGACACGGCCCAGACUCCUACGGGAGGCAGCAGUGGGGAAUAUUGCACAAUGGGCGCAAGCCUGAUGCAGCGACGCCGCGUAAGGGAUGACGGCCUUCGGGUUGUAAACCUCUUUCAGUAGGGAAGAAGCGAAAGUGACGGUACCUGCAGAAGAAGCACCGGCUAACUACGUG
rnacentral:rRNA from 1 species